AUGGCUGAAGAAGACCUUAUUUAUGAUCAAGCCCAGCCAGACGAGCCGGUUGACCAUCUUCAGCCGCCAAGCCUGACUCAUACUCCAAGCCCUCAUCAAGAGCCUGAAAAUGCUAACCAGAUGAUAGUUGAUGCUGAAGUGGUUAUUACUGGAACAGGUCACGGUGCUGCCAAUACCUCAACUAGCUGGACCAAGAUCCCAGCCAAGGAUGAGCCGGUUUGUGAAGACAAGGGUAAAGCAAAAUUGGAGCUUCCUGGCUUUGAUAAUAUGACCAGUGAAGAGCUUCAGCAUGAGUUCUUGACUCGGCUGUCUGAAAGCCGUGAUAUAGAAGCCAACAUAGUCAAUAUGUUGAAGAAGAAACAUGAGAUCAAAGCAGAGUCGAGCAUGCAAUCCACUGUUGAAGAGUUAGAGAAAGUGAAGGCGGCUUUUGAUAAGGAAAGAGCCGCCUUUGAAACCCAAAAAUCGGUGCUGAAGGACAAUUGA
rnacentral:rRNA from 1 species